GAUGUUUGAAGCGAGUGAUGCUAAACUAUACACUUACCAGCCGAUCUUUGCCCAGUUCAUUAGAGACAUGAAUGAUCUUUCAACAGAUGGAAUUGAUGUGGCUACUGAUUAUUUUCAAGGCAAUAUUAAAGUAGCAAUUGGUCAAGUUGUGGGCGACAACCUUGGUAUUCAUUCAUUGUUUGGUUUUAGCGAAGGAUUUACUGCUAAUUUUCCGUGCCGAACAUGUAAGAUCCAUCGCAGAAAUAUACCAGUGGAACUAACAGAAAACCGAGAAUUGCUGCGCACUGUUGAGAACUAUGAACAUGAUCUGGAGAUCAACAACCUACAGCAAACUGGUGUAAAAUCGCCUUGUCCAUUAAAUGGAAUAAACGGCUUUCAUAUCAUGGAUAAUAGGGCACCCGACAUUAUGCAUGACAUACUCGAAGGGAUCUGCCCUCUCGAGGUGAAAUUAGUUCUACAUCAGCUGAUUGUUAAGCGUUAUUUUUCUAUUGAUACAUUGAAUGCCAGGAUCACAAGCUUUAACUAUGGGUUACCCGAUGCAAAGAACAGGCCCUGCAAUAUUUGUUGGAGUACUCUUCAAAGUCGUGACGGGGUGAUCAAACAGAAGGCAGGUGCAAUGUGGUGCCUUGUAAGACACAUGCCAUUGAUGCUUGGCGAUUUGGUGCCAGAGAAUGAUGAGCAUUGGGAGUUGAUCCUUGCUUUGUUAACAUGUAUGGAUAUUAUUUUUGCUCCAACAGUCAGCAAAGGUGAUACAAUAUUUUUGACGCAGCUCGUAAGAGAUCAUCACUCGCUCUUUCUCGAGUUAUUUCCUGAUCAGAACUUGAAGCCUAAACAUCAUUACUUGACGCACUAUGCUUCUGCCAUACAGUUUGUUGGUCCACUAAUUCACCUAUGGGUGAUGCGAUUUGAAGGUUUCCACAACUUUUCAAAGCGACUAGGUCACAUUGUUUGUAAUUUUCAAAACAUUUCCAAGACACUUGCAUUCAGGAACGCUAUGCACUUGUGCUAUAAUAUAAUGGCAAACAAAACACUGUGUGAAAAGGCUUGUGAAAUUGGACCUGGAGAGUCGGUAAUACUAGCAUCACUAAAUGGAGCGGAACAAUUAGCCCAAAGCACCGGCAUUCCAUUGUACAACGAUGUAUUCUUAGCCAAAUGGGUCAAUGUCCAUGGAGCUGAGUAUAGACAGCAUGUGAUGGUGGCUGUGAAGAAGAGUGAUGAUGGUGAUCUCAUCUUCGGAAAAAUCAUGCAUAUUGUUGCAAUUGACCAUGUCCAGCGCAAUCAUGCAUCCGUAAGACUGAUAUGUGAACUUUGGAACACCAUUGGCUAUGAAAGACAUUACCACGCAUAUAUUGUGAAACCAUUGAGACCAGUAUGUCUUGCUAUAUGUACUGUGGAUGACUUACUCGACUUUCAUCCUCUGCAUGUGAACAAAAGCUUCAAGAAAGAUGAUGGCAGAUACUAUAUCAAUGUCAGGCAUAUCAUAGGAUAGAUUGUCAAUUGGAUUAGUCAUGAUGAGAAGUCAAGGACUGAACCAGUCAAUGAGCAUGAACCUAACACUGCUGUACAUCCAGCUGCGGAUACCAAUGCUGAUUCUGUUGAUGUUUUACCAAAGAAGAAGACAGAUGCCUUGUCUAAAUCAAGAACUGAACAUUCAACAGGAACUGCCGCUACAGCUUUAGACGGCAAUGGUGGAAAGAAGAAAGGUUCCAUCUUUGCCAUACGGGAUAUCAUACAGAAGGUAAACGGAGGUGACCAGAUGAUCAAAGAAAUGGAGGAAGGCCUCAUUUCACCCCGUACUAGAAGAAUGGUGGUGCAGACCCUAGUUUCAGCUAUGGUUGAGAAAUUUGGAAUGUAGUAAGUUUAUUUCAAAUGGCGGUUGCU